rnacentral:rRNA from 1 species
AUUGAACGCUGGCGGCAGGCCUAACACAUGCAAGUCGAACGAGUGGCGGACGGGUGAGUAAUGUCUGGGAAACUGCCUGAUGGAGGGGGAUAACUACUGGAAACGGUAGCUAAUACCGCAUACCAUCGGAUGUGCCCAUAUGGGCGUAGCGAGUAGGUGGGGUAAUGGCUCACCUAGGCGACGAUCCCUAGCUGGUCUGAGAGGAUGACCAGCCACACUGGAACUGAGACACGGUCCAGACUCCUACGGGAGGCAGCAGUGGGGAAUAUUGCACAAUGGGCGCAAGCCUGAUGCAGCCAUGCCGCGUGUAUGAAGAAGGCCUUCGGGUUGUAAAGUACUUUCAGCGGGGAGGCGUUACUCGCAGAAGAAGCACCGGCUAACUCCGUGCCAGCAGCCGCGGUAAUUC